rnacentral:rRNA from 1 species
ACUCAAAGGAAUAGACGGGGGCCCGCACAAGCGGUGGAGCAUGUGGUUUAAUUCGAUGCAACGCGAAGAACCUUACCUGGGUUUGACAUCCGGAGACAGUCCUAGAGAUAGGAUCUUCCCUUCGGGGACUCCGAGACAGGUGCUGCAUGGCUGUCGUCAGCUCGUAUCGUGAGAUGUCGGGUUAAGUCCCUUAACGAGCGCAACCCUUAUCCUUAGUUGCCACCAUUUAGUUGGGCACUCUAUGGAGACUGCCGGCGUUAAGCCGGAGGAAGGCGGGGAUGACGUCAAGUCCUCAUGGCCUUUAUAUCCAGGGCUACACACGUGCUACAAUGGCCGGUACAGAGGGUCGCCAACCCGCGAGGGGGAGCUAAUCCCAGAAAGCCGGUCUUAGUUCGGAUCGAAGUCUGCAAUUCGACUUCGUGAAGCUGGAAUCGCUAGUAAUCGCGGAUCAGAACGCCGCGGUGAAUACGUUCCCGGGCCUUGUACACACCGCCCGU